UGAGGAAUAUUGCGCAAUGGGGGCAACCCUGACGCAGCGACGCCGCGUGAGUGAGGAAGGCCUUCGGGUCGUAAAGCUCUGUCAAAGGGAAAGAAAUGUAUAAUGGCUAAUACCUGUUAUAUUUGACGGUACCCUUAAAGGAAGCACCGGCUAACUCCGUGCCAGCAGCCGCGGUAAUACGGAGGGUGCAAGCGUUGUUCGGAAUCACUGGGCGUAAAGGGCGCGCAGGCGGUUUGGUAAGUCAGAUGUGAAAGCCCACGGCUUAACCGUGGAAGUGCAUUUGAAACUGCCAGACUUGAGUAUCAGAGGGGAAAGUGGAAUUCCCGGUGUAGAGGUGAAAUUCGUAGAUAUCGGGAGGAGUACCGGUGGCGAAGGCGACUUUCUGGCUGAAUACUGACGCUGAGGCGCGAAAGCGUGGGGAGCAAACA
rnacentral:rRNA from 1 species